rnacentral:misc_RNA from 1 species
AAUCGAAUAUGCAUUAUGCACCACGUAUAUCUCUUCUCAGUUCUUACUCUUCCUUUGGUUGUACACAAAAUUCUUGAAAUUAAAGCAGAGAUAUAUCAAUGGAUAUUCGAUUAUCAUACAGAAACAUUUCUUCUCACGGUUUAUGGUCUUGUCCAACAACUCAAAAGGGUCUCAAACCUUGUUGUUCAGGAAAAAAUUCUCAGCAAAAUGGUGAUUCCAACAGCAAUUCAGGUGAUAAAUCUUCG